GGGGAUGACAGGCUUCGACGGAAGAGGCUGAUCCCGGAUUGCGAGCCGAGAGGCGCCGACCUCGUUAACUCAGCGCAAACAACAAGUGCCAACCGCACUUCCAUCUCCGCUCUGCCCCUCGCCGCUUAAUCGGCAAGGGUAAGAGCUUGACCCCGUUAGCGGGUCACGUCCGCCUACCCCGCUCUCCGGCCGGAGGUAGACCGGGCGAGAUAAUGUCGGAGUGCCGCACCUGACACCACUAACAGUGCGAAAGAGGGACUCUUGGGUCCCAGUGGCUGGCGUGUUGCCUGGCUUGUCGUUUAUCCGGCCUCGCGUGAGAACUAACAAACGACUACGCUCGUAGAUAUCCGCGUAUCGAUCCUUUCGGACGCGGGUUCGAUUCCCGCCAUCUCCACCA
rnacentral:tmRNA from 1 species